GGCUUGGUAGCUUAGUUGGUAGCACUUGGUUAGCCUUAGCGUAUAAGGGUCGUGAGUUCAAAUCUUACCUCAGCUG
rnacentral:tRNA from 1 species